GCAAGUCGAAUGGGUUUAGACCCAUGGCAGACGAGGUAGGAACACGUAGGUACAUACCCCAAAGUCACGGAUAACCCGGCGAAAGUCGGAAUAAUACGUGAUAGUCUCUUCGGAGUAAAGAUUUAUCGCUUUGGGAAUGGCCUGCGGGCUAUCAGCUUGUUGGUAAGGUAACGGCUUACCAAGGCUACGACGGAUAGGGGAGCUGAGAGGCUGACC
rnacentral:rRNA from 1 species